GACAAUUACAUAGUCUUCUACACCCUUUCAUUUUCCAACUAUCUACUUCACUUGUAGUUUUGUAAUUGUCUCUCUCUUCUUCUAAAACCGAAGCUGUCUUCUCUAUCUAUCUUUCUCUUCUCUCUCUCGCUCCCCCAACCCUAGCAAAACCAAUACUUUUCUCUUCAUCAUUGUUAAUCUCUCUCAUCAGAUCCGGCAACCUCUUCACUUCCUUCAUCAGUACUUCCAGGCUCGUCGGAGGUAAAUACAUAUCUUCAAUGGCGGUAGUGACGCGAUUCCGGCGGGGUAUAUGUGAUUCUGGCGAUGGGACUCGCAGAUUCACGGUCUGUUAACUCUUCUAGGGGGUUUGUUAAUAAAAUGUGUCUUUAGGAGAAGGAAAUAAGGCAUAUGCAUCUGCUACAUCAGUGAUGGCAAGAAAGAUAGAAAGCUGAUAAUGCACAGAAAGCUGAUAAUGCAUCAGAAAGCUGAUAAUGCAUCAGUUGCAGCCACUGAGAAGAAGGGGAGUGAUUUCUGCCAUGAAAAAGAUAGAAAUAAAGAUGUUAAUCAACCAAACUUGCAGUAUCAUGACAAGAGCUGGGUGGAGAAAGCUAAACAUCGUACUGUAGCGAAACACACUGAGGCUAGGAACAGAGUUGAGUUGUUAAGGCAUAAAGGUUUGUUGAUGUUGUUAUGACUAUUCCCAAAGGAACUUUGUUCCCCGUGUGCGGUAUGAAUCCGGAAUAUGAAGUUUGAUAGGUCUCAAACGAAUAAGACAUAGAUUUACCAGGAAGCUGGUGUGAGAAAUUUGGAGAGGAAUCUUGCUGCUCUGGCUCCUGCUGCUGCAUUAAGGGAUACAAGGACUUUCUACCUCACUUCUGGAAAGCAGACUCGCUGAUGGAACUGAAAUUGAAAUGGGUGUGAUACCAAUGAGUGUAAAUAGUCGGGACAUCUCAAACACAUUCAGGAUUUCCUCUCCAUUAGUUGUUGAUAAAACUAUGCUUGAAAAACUUCUUGGGGUAAUUGAUAUGCAUUACUAUUUCUCUGUUCUAAUCAAGUUCACUCGUGUUCCUGAAUAUUGUGGAGACUCGCAAAUAAAUUCGCUUGAUGCAGUUGCAGAGUUGUUGCUGCAACGACCAUGAAGUUGCAGCCACAGAUUGUGGUCCUGGAAUUUUAUUAAAACCUUGGUUAAAUUAUAUUUAACAUGUGAAGAUUUUCCUUCAUUUUCUCAUCUCAAACACAUUCAGGAUUUCCUCUCCAUUAGUUGUUGAUAAAACUAUGCUUGAAAAACUUCUUGGGGUAAUUGAUAUGCAUUACUAUUUCUCUGUUCUAAUCAAGUUCACUCGUGUUCCUGAAUAUUGUGGAGACUCGCAAAUAAAUUCGCUUGAUGCAGUUGCAGAGUUGUUGCUGCAACGACCAUGAAGUUGCAGCCACAGAUUGUGGUCCUGGAAUUUUAUUAAAACCUUGGUUAAAUUAUAUUUAACAUGUGAAGAUUUUCCUUCAUUUUAAUAUUAUCAUGAAAGAUCCUACAUACGCAUAGUUUUCUCAUAUGCUCAUCAGGACUGAUGCCAUAUUUGUUAUCAAAUGCAACCUCCAAAAUUUGAUGAUAGAGAAGACGCAGAACCCGUGGCUGCCCCUGGGGUCUCUGUUGGGCUGGUUUGGACUGCUUUUGGUGGAGAGAUUUAGUUUGUGGAGGCUUCAGCAAUGGUAGGGAAGGGUGAAUUGCAUCUCACUAGACAACUUGGUGAUGUAAUCAAAUAAUCAGCUCAUAUUGCACUAACACGGGUGAUCUCAAUGAAACAUACUUUGAGGGAAAUGUGGAUGAAGAGUCUAAUCAGUUGGUCAAAUGCUCAUAUGAGUGCCUAGAUAAGGCAAUAUCCAUUGGUAUGUAUAAUCAUGUUUAUUUGAAUAUAAUUUGGAUGAUUAAUGGAUUUAUAUUAUUAUAUUUUAAUACUUGAAAAUCAUGGUUAACUAUCUAUUUUGUUUCAAAUUUUAUGUCAAAUAUUGGUGUUGAAAAUUCAACUUCUUUAGGAUGGUCCGACUUAUGUUCAUGUGUUUGUUCAUGUUUUACGCUAUAUCUUCAAAGAGGAUACAAUUAAGUAUGUUUUGAUUAAACUUCAGUCAUUGGAUUGAAUUGCUCUCUGGUUCAUCUAAAACGUCAAUACUUGGAACAACAUUCUGGAGUAGAUAGACAGUCGUUCAAGGUUACAUUUUUUUCAUUUGAAUUAAAUAAUGUAGUCAUAUUGUAAUUUUUUCAUUUGCUGGUUUAAUCUUACUUUCAUUUACAGGUUAAUGGGGCUGCUAAUGUUGGGCGGUAUAUUGGAUUUGGAGUGUAUUUUGUUUUGUCUUGAUCCUUCAGUUGUAGAAAUCUACCUUACCACCGUAUACUGUUUCCGUGGCAUCAUAUAAAAAUUUGACUGUAGUUCUGGCAUUACUUAUGCCUUUUAUUUAAUAGUAAAAGUUAACAACUAACUAUGUUGCCACAAACAUACAUAAGCACCGUUACAAUUUGUUUCAUAAAUUAACACUUGCAGGUAUAUAACUAGGUAAAGGUAUAUAAGUUAGACCAUGUCUUCUUCAUAAUUACUAUUUCUUCCCUAUGUAUUAUAUAACUGAUUAAAGAAUUAAGACAUGCAGCAGGAUCUAUAUCACUCAUCUCAAGAUUGUGUGUUUUGGAUGAUUUGACUGCUGUAUUAUAGUCAUCCGUAGCAGGCCUAGGACUAAUAUACAGGUGCUGGAUUUAUCUUUUGAUUAUUGAGCUUCCUUGAUAUCCAUGUACAGUGCUGUCUAUUUCCAACAACAACAUAUAUUACUUUAUACAGCCUAUGAUAUUCAGAAACUUUUUGAUUGUACAGCUACUACAACACCUUAACAAGGAAGAAUUUGAGGAAUAGGGUUUCUCAUUGAAUAAUUGUAUCGAAGAGAGAUUGAUUAAACCCACCUUAACAAGGAAGAAUUUGUGGAAUAGGGUUUCUCAUUGAAUAUUUGUAUCGAAGAGAGAUUGAUUAAACCCAGUAUGCUUUGUUAAUAUUUAGGAUAACAUCUUUCUAUAAAAUCCAUAUGUAACUUAUUUGUUAAUAUGAAUUCAAAUCAUCUUGCAAUAAAAGAGUUUCUCACUUAUCAUUGUUGUUUAUAUGUUUACUUUUGUGUGCUAUUUCAAGUAUUUGUAUUAUAUAGUGAUGUUAAUUGUUCAUACUUUGAAUUGUCAAAGUGACAUAAUUGUAUAUUUUAUUCAGGAAAGCAAUGCCUCUGAUAAUGGAUAUUCUUUUGUU